rnacentral:lncRNA from 1 species
CCUUGCAGAUCUGGAUUUCUCAGCUCGGUAAGGAAGUUGGCAGGUGCAAUUAUGGGGCCUAAAUACGACGGCAAGUACCUGCACUCCAAAGUCAAGGACCUGCUCAAAGACAUCAAGCUCAGUCAGACCUUAACGAACGUCAUAAUCCCAGCCUUUGACAUCAAGCUUCUCCAGCCCAUCAUCUUUUCAUCCUUUGAGGUGCCUCUUGAGUAGUCUUAAUCUUCAACAAUGGAGAUCUGAUGUCUGUAGAUCUGGUCAUAUUCAUGCCUUGUUACUCUCAGGCGAGAUUGGAGCCUCUGAAGGACGCGCAUGUAGCUGACAUUUGCAUCAGUACAUCGGCGGCGCCGACCUUCCUUCCGGCGCACUACUUCGAGACCCAAGAUUCCAAUGGAAACACUCGUAGCUACAAUCUCAUCGAUGGAGGUGUUGCAGCGAACAAUCCAGUAAGCAAGAAUCUAUGAGUAGCUUCCGAUUGCUUCCUUCUUUCGCUUGAUCUGCUUGCCGGUGACUGACUUGCCACCGUUUCUUGCGAUCCAGACCUUGGUGGCGAUGAGCCAGAUCAAGAAGGAGAUGUUCCUGAUGAACCAGGACUUCCACUCCUACAAGCCGAUCGACUACCACAACUUCAUAAUCAUCUCCAUCGGCACCGGCGCCGCCAAGGUGGAGAAGAAGUUUAGUGCACAUCUCGCGUCCAAGUGGGGCAUUCUUCAGUGGCUGUACCAUGGUGGUUCCACCCCUCUGAUCGAUAGCUUCAGCCAUGCUAGCGCCGACAUAGUCGACGUCCACAUGUCCUCUGUUUUCCAGUCACUGCACUGUGAGCAGAAUUAUCUGCGCAUACAGGUAAAGUCAUGUUGAGGUUCCUCAGAUCCAUCUUGUUCUAAGUUCUUGGAUGAUCGAAGGACUGAUCCAACCGGAUUGCAGGAUGAGACCUUGAUGGGCCAAGCAUCAUCUGUUGACGUCUCGACAAAGGAGAACCUGCUUGAGCUGGUGAAGAUCGGUGAAAGUCUUCUGAAGAAACCAGUCUCCAGGGUCAACCUUGAGACAGGAGACUUCGAGGAGGUCAAGGGAGAAGGAACCAACGCCGAAGCACUCACUCGCUUGGCUAAGAUACUCUCCGAGGAGAGGCACCGUCGGAAAGGCGUAAUGGCCUUAAACUGAGCGAAUAAUGGCUGGAAUACUUCCGUCUCUCUUUCUCUACAUCGAUCUCUAUCUCUA